rnacentral:rRNA from 1 species
CAGUAGCCGCGGUAAUACGUAGGUGGCAAGCGUUGUCCGGAAUUAUUGGACGUAAAGGGCUCGCAGGCGGUUUCUUAAGUCUGAUGUGAAAGCCCCCGGCUCAACCGGGGAGGGUCAUUGGAAACUGGGAAACUUGAGUGCAGAAGAGGAGAGUGGAAUUCCACGUGUAGCGGUGAAAUGCGUAGAGAUGUGGAGGAACACCAGUGGCGAAGGCGACUCUCUGGUCUGUAACUGACGCUGAGGAGCGAAAGCGUGGGGAGCGAACAGGAUUAGAUACCCCUGUAGUCCCUGUCUCUUAUAC